CGAGAGCAAUGGAAUGGUCUGCUGUUUCUGUUCGAGACUCUCUCGAACAACGGGACCCCACAUGUACAACACACGGGAAACCCACGGCCAUCAGUCUCCGGCCCACCGUACGACGUUCAUUGCACGUGUCAGCAACAGCUCAACCACAGCAGAGUAUCCCUAGCAUACACUCUGUUAGCAUUGCUCCGAUUCGGGGUUCAUCUCUCAACUCCUCAAAACUGAAGGAUCAGAGAAGCAAUAGCAGGGAUAAGACAGAAGAAGAAGAGAUUCUGCGUUCUAGAAGAACACACAGCGCGGGAAUACGAGACAAGGCGUCUAGAGAUCACCCAACGUGCCCUCCAGGGGAUCGCAUCAUAUUCACUGAUUCGCCAACAUUAACGGGAGUGCCGCUUGUUUAUCGGCUGCCAGAAGACAGACAAACCAAUCCAGACAGACUGAAUUUAGACAGACGUCGUCUUAGUGUCUGUCCUUUGUUGGAGGGAGAAGACCAGCUGCGAUUGCUAAAUCUGCAGCACAACAUGAUAACAAAGAUACAGCACUUGAGUUCUCUGCGUCGUCUCAUUUUUCUUGAUCUGUACGAUAACAUGAUCAUGGAGAUAUCAGGACUGCAAACACUUGUGUCACUAAGAGUUCUAAUGUUGGGGAAAAACAGGAUCACAUCAAUUGGCAAUCUGGAGCGUUUGACUAAACUUGAUGUUUUAGAUCUACAUGGCAAUCUGAUUCAUGAAAUUGAGAAUUUGAAUCAUUUAACUGAGUUGCGGGUACUGAACUUGGCAGGCAAUCAAAUUGCUUGUGUUCACAAUUUAGUAGGUUUGACAUCACUAACGGAACUCAACCUGAGACGAAAUGUUAUCACUGAAGUGUAUGACAUUGAUGGCCUCCCCAGUCUGCAGCGUCUGUUCCUCAGCUACAACCAGAUCAUCAGUUAUGAAGACAUCAAGUGUUUGUCUAGUGCCUCAAGUCUCAUUGAGUUGUCAUUAGACUGCAAUCCGUAUGCCAACAAUCCAACGUACAAACAGACCUUAUUGGAUCAAAUACAAUUACUCAAACUUCUCGACAUGAAGAAAGUCUCGGAUGAGGAACAUCGUUCAGCCACUAUUUUCAAGAGGAAAGAAGUGGAGAAGAAACGGGAAUAUGACAAACGAUCUGUUGAGAAAGAAAGGCGUGAACUUGCCAUCUCCAAUGCUGAGCAGCAAUGGCUUGCAUUGAGAAAUCGCAGUCGACUUUCAAGGUCACAGCCACAGUCAGCAGAUGCAGCUGAGUUGAAACGAAGACAGUCAAGUCGUUCAUCCAGUCUUUCUACUGAACGUACUACACCUGUCAGUAACUCUGUUAGUCGAGAAAGAUCUUUCAGUGUAACACGAAACAGCUCAAGAGCAGAAACAGUCAGUAUGGCACCCUACUUUUGUGACUUGGAUGGUGAAGUUCUUUCUUUGUAUGGUGUCGACUCUCUCGGUGAAUUGGACAAAAACUGGGGAGUGCAGACGACUGCUGCUGUUAUCACCAUCACAUUCCACUUUAUGUAUUUUGACACUGUCGCAGAUAAUCUGUACAAAGUAAAAGCAAAAUUUCCAGGAGUUAUGAAUCUUGUAUUUCAACACAAUGAUGUAUGGAAGCUGCAACAGUUGAAUGCUCUCAGUUGUCUACGUCGACUGGACAGCCUCACCGUUCACUCCGAUGGCAACCCAGUUACUAAUCUGAGUUUGUGGAAACCAUACACUCUCUUUCGUCUUGCACAUCUUGGGCUGAGGAAACUAAAUGAUGAAGAGGUGACACCAAGUGAUAUUGUCAGUGCUGAAAAGCUGUUUGGUAACUUGUCUCAUAUCACGACUUCUGAACUUCCACAAAGUCGUUUGCUCUCAUUGUUAGGAGAUGCAAGACGAAAACAAGUGCUGCAAGCUGCAGUGCCACCGCAUCAAGAUGAUUCAGACAUUGGGGACACACAGCGUCACCAUCUCAUUAGUGCUGCAUUGAUGAAAAGUCAGGGUCAGUCAGUAGAAGCUGUUGGGAAGAGUGGUCUUCAGUACUGGUUGUUGGAGUCUUCACAAAAGAAAUCACAGACUGGAUGAUGGAAUUUUUAGCACCACCUGACAGAAAGACAUGGAUUGCUCACAUAUAUACCGCCCCCAAUGCUCUUGGACGGAUGUUGGAGGCGUAUAGAAGUUGGGGUGUACGGACAGCUCCAGCACAUACAAUGAAGUGCUUGGCAUGGAUGACCACAUUGAACUUUUUGCCCUUUCUGAGAUCUCGGCACCGAGCCAACUUGAUACAUUUACCGUCUUCGGUUGGGACAAGCUCAUAGCAAAGAUGUUCAGUCUAAGAAGAAGCAAAUCAGAAGGAGUUGUAUCAGUUGCAUGCUUUCCAAUCUUGUAUUGAAGCUGCUGAAAAGUUUGUAGCAAGUGCAAGUGAUGAGGCUAUUCGUGUGUACAAACUGCAACAGCAGCUGGAGCGGAUAUGGC